rnacentral:rRNA from 1 species
UACGUAGGGGGCAAGCGUGUCCGGAUUUAUUGGGCGUAAAGCGCGUGUAGGCGGCCAGGUAGGUCGGCUGUGAAAACUCGAGGCUCAACCUCGAGCUGUCGGCCGAAACCAUCUGGCUAGAGUCCGGAAGAGGAGAGUGGAAUUCCCGGGUGUAGCGGUGAAAUGCGCAGAGUAUCAGGAGGAACGACCGGUGGCGAAGGCGGGUCUCUGGGCAACAACUGACGUGGAGGAGCGAAAGCGUGGGGAGCGAACAGG